AACGAACGCUGGCGGCAGGCUUAACACAUGCAAGUCGAGCGGGCCCUUCGGGGUCAGCGGCGGACGGGUUAGUAACGCGUGGGAACGUGCCUUCUGCUCUGGAAUAGCCCUGGGAAACUGGGGGUAAUACCGGAUGUGCCCUGAGGGGGAAAGGUUUAUCUGGCAGGAGAUCGGCCCGCGUCUGAUUAGGUAGUUGGUGUGGUAAUGGCGCACCAAGCCGACGAUCGGUAGCUGGUUUGAGAGGAUGAUCAGCAACACUGGGACUGAGACACGGCCCAGACUCCUACGGGAGGCAGCAGUGGGGAAUCUUAGACAAUGGGGGCAACCCUGAUCUAGCCAUGCCGCGUGGGUGAUGAAGGCCUUAGGGUCGUAAAGCCCUUUCGCUGGGGAAGAUAAUGACGGUACCCAGUAAAGAAGCCCCGACUAACUCCGUGCCAGCCGCCGCAGUAAAAC
rnacentral:rRNA from 1 species